rnacentral:rRNA from 1 species
GACGAACGCUGGCGGCGUGCUUAACACAUGCAAGUCGAACGGUGAAGCGCCUUCCUUUUUGGUGGGUGUGGAUGAGUGGCGAACGGGUGAGUAACACGCGAGUAACCUGCCCCCUUCUUCUGGAUAACCGCAUGAAAGUGUGGCUAAUACGGGAUAUUCUGGGUCUGUCGCAUGAUGGGUCUGGGAAAGAUAUUGUUUCGGUGGGGGAUGGGCUCGCGGCCUAUCAGCUUGUUGGUGGGGUGAUGGCCUACCAAGGCGGUGACGGGUAGCCGGCCUGAGAGGGUGGACGGUCACACUGGGACUGAGACACGGCCCAGACUCCUACGAGAGGCAGCAGGGGGGAAUAUUGCACAAUGGGCGCAAGCCUGAUGCAGCGACGCCGCGGGAGGGAUGGAGGCCUGCGGGUUGUGAACCUCUUUCGCCAGUGAAGCAGGCCUGCCUCGUUUGUGGGUGGGUUGACGGUAGCUGGAUAAGAAGCGCCGGCUAACUACGUG